GACGAACGCUGGCGGCGUGCCUAAUACAUGCAAGUCGAACGCAGUGGGGACGGGUGAGUAACACGUGGGUAACCUCCCAUCAGAGGGGAUAACACUUGGAAACAGGUGCUAAACCGAUCCUGAUGGAUGUACCCGCGGUGCAUUAGCUAGUUGGUGAGGAAACGGCUCACCAAGGAAACGAUGCAUAGCGGACCGGAGAGGGUGUUCGGACAAACUGGGACUGGGACACGGCCCAGACUCCUACGGGAGGCAGAGGUAGGGAAUCUUCGGAAAUGGACGAAAGUCUGACCGGGCAACGCGGCGUGAGUGAAGAGGGUUUUCGGAUCGUAAAACUCGUUUGUUAGAGAAGCGGUAUCUAACCAGAAAGCCACGGCUAACUACGUGCCAGCAGCCGCGGUAAUAC
rnacentral:rRNA from 1 species